rnacentral:Y_RNA from 1 species
GGCAAAUGCCGAAGGAAUUACAGUUGAUAACUCAUGGGUCGCGGGUUCAAGUCCCGUCUCUGCCGCCGUUUGGCAGAGUAGCUCAGCUAGGUAGAGCAAUGAAUAGAUUUCUUCAAAACCUUGUUGUCUA